GACGAACGCUGGCGGCGUGCUUAACACAUGCAAGUCGAACGGAAAGGCCCUGCUUUUGUGGGGUGCUCGAGUGGCGAACGGGUGAGUAACACGUGAGUAACCUGCCCUUGACUUUGGGAUAACUUCAGGAAACUGGGGCUAAUACCGGAUAGGAGCUCCUGCUGAAUGGUGGGGGUUGGAAAGUUUCGGCGGUUGGGGAUGGACUCGCGGCUUAUCAGCUUGUUGGUGGGGUAGUGGCUUACCAAGGCUGUGACGGGUAGCCGGCCUGAGAGGGUGACCGGCCAGAUUGGGACUGAGAUGCGGCCCAGACUCCUACGGGAGGCAGCAGUGGGGAAUAUUGCACAAUGGGCGGAAGCCUGAUGCAGCAACGCCGCGUGCGGGAUGACAGCCUUCGGGUUGUAAACCGCUUUCGCCUGUGACGAAGCGUGAGUGACGGUAAUGGGUAAAGAAGCACCGGCUAACUACGUG
rnacentral:rRNA from 1 species